rnacentral:rRNA from 1 species
UGGGGAAUAUUGGACAAUGGGCGCAAGCCUGAUCCAGCCAUGCCGCGUGAGUGAUGAAGGCCCUAGGGUUGUAAAGCUCUUUCACCGGUGAAGAUAAUGACGGUAACCGGAGAAGAAGCCCCGGCUAACUUCGUGCCAGCAGCCGCGGUAAUACGAAGGGGGCUAGCGUUGUUCGGAUUUACUGGACGUAAAGCGCACGUAGGCGGACUAUUAAGUCAGGGGUGAAAUCCCGGGGCUCAACCCCGGAACUGCCUUUGAUACUGGUAGUCUUGAGUUCGAGAGAGGUGAGUGGAAUUCCGAGUGUAGAGGUGAAAUUCGUAGAUAUUCGGAGGAACACCAGUGGCGAAGGCGGCUCACUGGCUCGAUACUGACGCUGAGGUGCGAAAGCGUGGGGAGCAAACAGG